rnacentral:sRNA from 1 species
ACACGUCCGUGUGAAGGAGGAAGGUUUGU